CAGCAGCCGCGGUAAUACAGAGGGUGCAAGCGUUAAUCGGAAUUACUGGGCGUAAAGCGCGCGUAGGUGGUUUGUUAAGUUGGAUGUGAAAUCCCCGGGCUCAACCUGGGAACUGCAUCCAAAACUGGCAAGCUAGAGUAUGGUAGAGGGUAGUGGAAUUUCCUGUGUAGCGGUGAAAUGCGUAGAUAUAGGAAGGAACACCAGUGGCGAAGGCGACCACCUGGACUGAUACUGACACUGAGGUGCGAAAGCGUGGGGAGCAAACAGGAUUAGAUACCCGCGUAGUCCCUGUCUCUUAUAC
rnacentral:rRNA from 1 species